rnacentral:lncRNA from 1 species
UGCAUUCUCCCGUUCCCCGUCUUGGCCCGCAGGUUGCUUGCCGGAUCUUCGGUUGAAGUUUUCCGGCGCCUAGUCCCCGGAUCUAGGAGGAUCAACUCCGAGAGACCGGAACAUCUGCUCGUUCGUCUGCACCGGUAGUUGCCUCCUAGAGGAUGAAAAAGAAGCGACGAGCACUCCAGAUGCCCGCAUCCUGUCCAACUGUGCUGCGAGAACCGGAUUGUCGGCGCCCAAAAUAUCGAAGAGACCGAACAACUGGUCGAUUUUCAUCUUGUCUUAUGUCCGCAUCUGCUGGAACUCCU